CGAACCGAGCGAACGUUGUUCGGAAUCACUGGGCUUAAAGGGUGCGUAGGCGGGCUGCCAAGUUUGGGGUGAAAUCCUCCGGCUCAACCGGGGAAGUGCCUUGAAUACUGGCGGUCUCGAGGGAGGUAGGGGCGUGCGGAACUAACGGUGGAGCGGUGAAAUGCGUUGAUAUCGUUAGGAACUCCGGUGGCGAAGGCGGCACGCUGGACCUCUUCUGACGCUGAGGCACGAAAGCCAGGGGAGCGAACGGGAUUAGAUACCCCGGUAGUCCUGGCCCUAAACGUUGAGAACUAGGUAGUAGGCCGGACAUGGGCUUACUGCCGGAGCAAAAGUGCUAAGUUCUCCGCCUGGGGAGUAUGGUCGCAAGGCUG
rnacentral:rRNA from 1 species